UAAACGGAACUAACCCAACUCCACAAAUCAAUAUGAAGGAUGUUGAGAGUUUUACUCAUCUGGGCAGCAUAGUGUCCAACGAUGUGUUACGGUGCAGGGAAAUAGACAAGCGUCUUGCUUAAAGCCAACAACCCCUUUGGUCGUGUCAGAUUGAGAGUAUUCCCGAUAUAUCUGGCAGUCCGGACGCAUGGACUAGAAUGCAUGGCUAAAGGCCGAGUACACCGGGAAUCUCCGCCAUUUUGCUAUGUUGUGCUAAGCUAACCGUGUAGGACUCUCCAGUAGUGUAACGGUCCAUUGAGGAACGGCGCAAGGAUUAUCGAAGAAGAAGGAGUAGUAUUUUUCUUUCAUUGAACCAGAGUCAGAUAAACGAGUUUCCUGGAGGGCGGCAAUGUUUACUUUGAGCCUGGACAGAUCUUCGUUUAUUAUUGCGGAUUUUCUGGCAUCUUCUAUGUCUGAUUAUAAACACACCAUCUCUUCAGGAUCACUGUGCGCACUUGAAAAAGUUCGUCAGCCUAGUCUAGAAAAAAAUAUAUACGGUUUAAAAAAACUUCUGAUCAAGUGCUUCUAAAUUGGUAAAAUGAAAAUAAAAACCAAAGACACUUUUAAAGUCAAUUACUAUUAAAGAUAACUAUACUGAAUAA
rnacentral:sRNA from 1 species